rnacentral:rRNA from 1 species
GACGAACGCUGGCGGCAUGCCUAACACAUGCAAGUCGAGCGAGCUGAUCCCUUCGGGGUGAAGCUAGCGGCGGACGGGUGAGUAACACGUGGGCAACCUGCCUCAUAGAGGGGAAUAGCCUUCCGAAAGGAAGAUUAAUACCGCAUAAGAUUGUAGCUUCGCAUGAAGCAGCAAUUAAAGGAGCAAUCCGCUAUGAGAUGGGCCCGCGGCGCAUUAGCUAGUUGGGGAGGUAACGGCUCACCAAGGCGACGAUGCGCAGCCGACCUGAGAGGGUGAUCGGCCAACUUGGGACUGAGACACGGCCCAGACUCCUACGGGAGGCAGCAGUGGGGAAUAUUGCACAAUGGGGGAAACCCUGAUGCAGCAAUGCCGCGUGAGUGAUGACGGCCUUCGGGUUGUAAAGCUCUGUCUUCGGGGACGAUAAUGACGGUACCCGAGGAGGAAGCCACGGCUAACUACGUGCCAGCAGCCGCGGUAA